CCAUGGGAUUUUAGUAGAUGAAAAAGACCC
rnacentral:piRNA from 1 species